GACUACAGGGGUAUCUAAUCCUGUUUGCUCCCCACACUUUCGCGCCUCAGCGUCAGUUACAGUCCAGUAAGCCGCCUUCGCCACUGGUGUUCCUCCCGAUCUCUACGCAUUUCACCGCUACACCGGGAAUUCCGCUUACCUCUCCUGCACUCAAGCCCGACAGUAUCCAAAGCAAUUCCCACCUUAAAAGCAGGACUUUCACUCCAGACUUACCAGGCCGCCUACGCGCCCUUUACGCCCAAUCAUUCCGGACAACGCUUGCCCCCUACGUAUUACCGCGGCUGCUGGCACGUAGUUAGCCGGGGCUUCCUUCUUGGCUACCGUCAUUAUCUUCACCAAGGAUAGAAGUUUACGAUCCGAAAACCUUCUUCCUUCACGCGGCGUUGCUGGGUCAGGGUUUCCCCCAUUGCCCAAUAUUCCCCACUGCAGCCCCCCGUAGG
rnacentral:rRNA from 1 species